UCCUUGGUGGAAGAUGAGAGCCCUCACCCAGGCACUCAUGGGGGUCCAUUUGCUUCCUGGUUUGUUUCCAGAAGGGAUAGAGUCUGCAGCUCCCGCUGAGUGUGGUCAGGUUGAGCAGGAGCAAACCGACUGCCCUGCGUGCAACCUGGCUCACCACUGAGCCCCCAGACCUCCCAGCCCCACCUCUGAAGCCUGCAGCCGAGCCCGGGGGGCUCCUGGGCAGAGGGCCAGUAAGGACACCAAGGCCAUUUGAUGCAGAGAGAAUAGUCUUUUCAACAAAUUGUGCUGAGACAACUGGAUAUCUACAUCCAAAAUAGUGAAGUCAGACACCAAGUCAUUUUUGUAUAUGACUUCCACCAUACACAAAAAUUAAUUCAAAAUGGAUUGAAGACUUACAUGUAAGAGCUAAAACGACAAAAUUUCUUUUUUAAAUGCAGAAGUGUAAAUCUUCGUCACCUUGGAUUCAGUGACGGAUUCUUAGAUAUGACCCCUAGCGCAUAAAGAGAGACAAAAUAGAUAAACUGGACUUCAUCAAAAUUAAAAACUUUUCUGCAUCAAAGGUCACUUCAAUUAAUUAAGAAAGUGAAAAGACAAUCCACAGAAUGGGAGAAAAUAUCUGGAAGUCAUGCAUCUGAUAAAGGUUCUGUAAUCCAGAAUACAUAAAAAAUUCUUACAACUCAACAAUAAAAAAGACAACCCAAUUUUAAAGCAUGAGCAAAGGAUCUAAGUAGAUAUUUCUUCAAAGAGAAUAUGCAAAUGGUCAAUAAACACAUGAAAAGUGGCACAAGGUCAUUAGCCAUCAGAAAAAUGCAAACCCACGCCAGAAAGAAGUACCAUGUCACAUCCACUAGGAUGGCUCUAGCCAAAAAGAUGGACAAUAAGUGUUGGAGGGCAGGUGAACAAAUUGGAGACUUCAUGCAUGGCUACUGAAGUGAAAAUUGUAACAUCAUCGAAAAAUGGUUUGACAAUUCCUCAAAAUGUGAACAGUAAAGUUACCUUAUGACCCAGCAAUUCCACUCCUAGGUAUAUACCCAAAGUAAUUGCAAAUGUGUUCAAACAAAAAGCUGUAUAGGAACGUUUAUAGCAGCAUUGUUAAUAAUAGCCGAAAGGUAGAAACAACAUAAAUGUUUAUUGGUGCAUGGAUAAACAAAAUGUGGCAUAUCCAUAGAGUGGGUAUUAUUUAGCCAUAAAGAGGAAUGAAGCACAGACAGACGCUACAACAUAGAUGAACCUUGGAAAUAUUGUACGAAAUGAAACAAGAGAUACACAGAAGGCAACAUAUUGUAUGAUUCCAUUUAUAGGAAAUGUGCAGAAUAGGCAAAUCCUUAGAGGCAGAGAGUAGAUUAAUCAUUGCCAGGGUCUAGUGGGAAGGAGUGACUGCAAGUGGGCAUGGGGUUUCUUUUUUGAGUGAUGGAAAUAUUCUGGAAUUAGAUCAUGGUGAUGGUCACAUAACUUGUAAAUAUACUAAACAGUUGGAGGCUGAGGGCGAGCUCCUCUGUCGGUUGGAAACUCUCUUUGUUGCACAAAGUGAAUUGUAUGAGUCUCUAGAAGAUGUAAGAGGAGGCUUCAGUGCUGCCCGGUGGAUUCAAAGGGAGCUAAGGAUGAGACAGGGCAGAAGACCCCCUAGAUGAACUCUCAGAAAAUUUCAGCUGGAAACAGAGACCUAAGGGGGACAAAAAGAUGGAUGAAGGGAAUGCCAAGAGAAAUUCAUCAAAAUGUCCUUGUAUUUCCAGUUUCUGAGGACCUGGCUUUCCUCCGCCUGUUGUCUUUCUAGUAGGAGGCUAUCAGGGACAGUGAUGCCAGGAGACAACCCAGUGUAUGCUCCUGUAGUCACCAGAAGGGGUCCCAGGAGGUCUUCAAAUGCCCCCGGAUGGGAAGUCCUGACCAUCAAGGGCUCUUCCAGGACCUCCAUCUCCCUCCAUUAAACUCCCACGAUCCCAACCCUGCAACAAUCCAGGCAUCGUGGUCCUGUCUGGAAAAAGGGUCAUGCCCUAAUCCACGCUGGCUCAGUCGACCCAGCACAUCUGGGACCUACGUGAGCGUGCUUUGGUGCCGUCUCUUUCAUCAGACUAUUCUCGCAGAAAGAUCGUGAGCUCCCAGGGCAAGACAAAACAAAACGAAAUUAUCUGCCAACAGUAUCUAACUCACUGGGUACAGAGACAAUAACUGCGGCAACUCAGGCAGGGCCCCUGGCAGAGUGACCAGUGUGGGUAAAACUCAGUCUGUGCUGGGAAUGUCCACACUUACGGGGUGACAGUCCCCAGCUCCCCACAUGCCAGUCUAGCGCCCAACCUCGAUGAGGGGGAGCAAGUGUCCUCUGGCUUGUGAGUCCUGGGGGAGUUCACACUAUGCACCUGUGAAAUUCCUAGCUCUAGAGUCUUCUGAAACCAACCCCUGGUGUGUUACUGUUGCUUUUGAGUUGACUAAAUCCGGAGGACCUGUUGGGUGGGUGCUGGAGUUGUCAUUCGCUGACCUGGGAGGAACUGAUUCCGAGCAAAUAAAGACUCCAGCUUCAAUAAACACUCAUCUAAAACAACUUUGGCCAAAAUGAUCAUGGUUAUCUGAAGGGUGGUGUUAAUAUAAAAAUUGCAAAUAUGAAUAUAGACAUACAAAACUGGACACCUCACAUGUGGCCUGAACUAAAGGCACUCAGCCCUCUGCAAAGUUGACUCAGGUCUCUUCUCUGCUUGAGCUGGGACUCUAACUCCAAGCCACAAGGCCACGCAACCCUGCUUGAGACCUGAAGGGACACACAAGGUAUGGGCUUCACACUGCCCAAAGCCACAAGCCAGGAGCCAGGCCUGGAGGGACCUUUAGGGAGGACCUUUGAGGUCUGCCAGAGAGCAACUAUGGCAAGUGACCACUGCAGGGACACUCACCACUAGCCGCAUCUGCUUCCACCACAAAGCCUUGUCCAGGCAACCCGACAGUACCAUCCCUGGGGCUGUGCCCACUGCCAUGGCUCCGUCUGCCCCGAGCCCUGCAGACAUCCACAGGAUAAAAAGGAAUCUGCCUGAAAUCUUAUCUGGCCAACUUCCUGAUCCUAACAGCAACAGGGGUACAGAAGACAGGACAACACAGAGCACAGGGCCAGGUGGCCCUUCCCUGUAGGGUCCUCUAGGAGCACACAGGCCAUCUGAAGACACUGGUUCCAGGUGCAUAUGAGCCAGGGAACAGAGCACCGGGCUAACCCAGAGACUCACCGGGACGUGAGCACAUGCCACUGAUGUGGAGGAAACCAGAGUCCUGCAGAGAGCUGUUCCAUACCCUUCCAUGUCCUGCCCAGGAGUAAUGGAGAGUGCACUGGUGGCCCUGCUGCAGCUGUCAUGGGGCCCACACCCUUCUACAUGUCCACUGUGGUCCAGGUGGACAGGUCAUUCCUGAACAGGACGUUAUAGAGCCCCGGGAGGUCUGCAGCUCCUGUCUAGACAUGACGAAGCUUCUCAUUGCUCCCAACCAACCAUCAUGAGCCUUUAGUUCAAGGGGCAGAAUCUGGCUCUGAGAAGAAGAAAUGGUUCUCUCCAGGUUUCUUUCAAGAGCCUUGAAUCACUUUCUGUAGCUGCAGAUCACAGGUGGGACCUGCCCAGGGCUCCAGGUACUCCUGGGCUUUUGUCUCAUCCACAGGUCUUUCUUUCCUGGGUUCAACAAGUCUGUCAAAACAAGAAAACCAUCUCCAUGCCCCGUACCAUGACACUGUUACCACCUCCCAGGGAGAUCCACGGAGAGCAAGACUUGCUCUCACAUCAGAAGUUUCUUCUACCAAGAAACUCCACUGUGUCUCCUGGGUUCAACAAUUUGACAGCUUCUGGCCGGCUGAAACUCCUGCCUAGUUUCCCAGGCCAUUGCAGUGCCCCCUGCAGCCACCCUGGCCAGCUGGGCCAAACUCUGAGGUCACUGACCCGGGUUCUGCCCAGAACUGCACCUGUGCCUGGUACCCAGGUCCCACCACCACUAGAGAGGGGCAGGGGGACAGCAACAAUAAAGUCACAUCCUCACCCUGCCCUCUAGCGAACCCAUUUCUUCUGUGGUCCCUUUCUUUCCUUCCCUCCUUCCCUCCUCCCUCC